rnacentral:lncRNA from 1 species
GCUGUAAUCUGGAUCCGAGCAGGGCACACGAAGGCUUUGUCGGAUCCCGCUGCUGGUGACGCACCCUUGUCGGGCAGGGCCAUCACAGGUGAAUCGAAAGGCCCCGCCCCUGUCACAUCUGCCCUGCUCAGUGCCGGAUUGGAGCACAGGGAGGGGAAGUGGUGGUGUGGGUGAGAACCUCAGAGGUCCCUGCCAACAAAUGAAGAAACACAAGCACAAACAAAUAGGCAGGAGUCAGCAAAGGAAACACAUACUGUUUGCCAAUGGCGAGGGUGUUGUGGCUGCCGGUGCACUGAUGCCUAGUUACCCGUCCUCCAACUCAUCGUUCAGUUCACUAUUGCGGCUGCCGGUACACUGAUUUCACAUACUUUUUGUAUGUAAAAUCUGAGAUACCUGUAAUUCAUCGUUCAGUUCAAAUGGCAUUUCAAUUUGGCAAAGAUUUGUAAGUACUAAAAUAAUUUGGUAAAAAUUCUAUAUUAUUUCAAAUAAAUUUUUAUCAAGAGCAAUCCAUUUGAUGGCUUCUACGUAGUGCUGGCACCUACUAACAGAUUUGUGUGCCAAAGGAAAAGAACUUAUAGUAAUUUUUAAACGAGCUCUUGCAAAUCGAAGAUUAUUUAUGCUAGUGUUCGAAUCAGUACCUCUAAAGCACCACCAGAUUCAGGUGCUCUCGAUCUGUUUAUUGGCCUUGGAUUCAAGGGGGCAGCAGGAAGGGGAUGUUGGUACUGAUACAUACCUGAAGCAACGACGGUGGCGCGUCCUCCACCUCCCUCUAAGUUAGUGUCGGCACCACCCACCCACUCAUC